UGGGGAAUAUUGGACAAUGGGCGAAAGCCUGAUCCAGCCAUGCCGCGUGAGUGACGAAGGCCUUAGGGUUGUAAAACUCUUUCGUCGCGGACGAUAAUGACGGUACCCGAAGAAGAAGCUCCGGCUAACUUCGUGCCAGCAGCCGCGGUAAUACGAAGGGAGCUAGCGUUGUUCGGAAUCACUGGGCGUAAAGCGCACGUAGGCGGAUAGUUAAGUCAGGGGUGAAAUCCUGGGGCUCAACCCCAGAACUGCCUUUGAUACUGGCUGUCUCGAGGUCGAGAGAGGUUGGUGGAAUUCCUAGUGUAGAGGUGAAAUUCGUAGAUAUUAGGAAGAACACCAGUGGCGAAGGCGGCCAACUGGCUCGAUACUGACGCUGAGGUGCGAAAGCGUGGGGAGCAAACAGGAUUAGAUACCCCCGUAGUCCCUGAGCGGGCUGGCAAGGCGCAU
rnacentral:rRNA from 1 species